ACCUCCAUAAACCCCUUUUCGACAAAAGGGCUCGCUCCUCCUAAAAACCCGCUAAAAGAUUUUAGUUUAUUUUUCCCCCUUCGCAUGCAGAAAAGCCCAGUUUUGAAAGAGUAAUUUGGUCGAGCACCUGGUGUUCAAUGAAAGGCAGCAACAAAGCUACUGUUUUAACUCUUGCUGAGAAAUGCAAGAAUAUAUUGGUUUCAAAUUGGCAAGGUUAUCUUAAUACCAUCAAAACUGAUGCCCAAGGAAGCAAAGAGAAUAUAUACGUCG